UACGUAGGGGGCAAGCGUUGUCCGGAAUCAUUGGGCGUAAAGCGCGUGUAGGCGGCUUGGUAAGUCUGCUCUGAAAACCCGAGGCUCAACCUCGGGCCUGCAGUGGGUACGGGCAGACUAGAGUGCGGUAGGGGAGAUUGGAAUUCCUGGUGUAGCGGUGGAAUGCGCAGAUAUCAGGAGGAACACCGAUGGCGAAGGCAGAUCUCUGGGCCGUAACUGACGCUGAGGAGCGAAAGCAUGGGGAGCGAACAGG
rnacentral:rRNA from 1 species